rnacentral:rRNA from 1 species
CCCUUAGAUGUUCUGGGCUGCACGCGCGCUACACUGAAGCGUUCAACGAGUAUUCACCUUGCCCGGGAGGGUUGGGUAAUCUUUUGAAAACGCUUCGUGAUGGGGAUAGAUUAUUGCAAUUAUUAAUCUUCAACGAGGAAUUCCUAGUAAGCGCGAGUCAUCAGCUCGUGCUGAUUACGUCCCUGCCCUUUGUACACACCGCCCGUCGCUCCUACCGAUUUCGAGUGGUCCGGUGAAGCUUUUGGACUGCGCGUGGCUUCGUGCCGUGUCGCGGAAAGUCAGCUAAACCUUAUCACUUAGAGGAAGUAAAAGUCGUAACA